rnacentral:rRNA from 1 species
GGGGGUUGGAGAAGUUGAUCCUGGCUCCAGAUUGAACGCUGGCGGCAGGCCUAACACAUGCAAGUCGAACGGUAGCACAGAGAGCUUGCUUCUCGGGUGACGAGUGGCGGACGGGUGAGUAAUGUCUGGGAAACUGCCCGAUGGAGGGGGAUAACUACUGGAAACGGUAGCUAAUACCGCAUAAUGUCGCAAGACCAAAGAGGGGGACCUUCGGGCCUCUUGCCAUCGGAUGUGCCCAGAUGGGAUUAGCUUGUAGGUGGGGUAACGGCUCACCUAGGCGACGAUCCCUAGCUGGUCUGAGAGGAUGACCAGCCACACUGGAACUGAGACACGGUCCAGACUCCUACGGGAGGCAGCAGUGGGGAAUAUUGCACAAUGGCGCAAGCCUGAUGCAGCCAUGCCGCGUGUAUGAAGAAGGCUCGGGUUGUAAAGUACUUCAGCGAGGAGGAAGGCGUUGGGUUAAUAACCACA